rnacentral:rRNA from 1 species
UACGGAGGGUGCAAGCGUUAUCCGGAUUCACUGGGUUUAAAGGGUGCGUAGGCGGGUAUGUAAGUCCGUGGUGAAAUCUCCGAGCUUAACUCGGAAACUGCCAUGGGUACUGUGUAUCUUGAAUGUUGUGGAGGUGAGCGGAAUAUGUCAUGUAGCGGUGAAAUGCUUAGAUAUGACAUAGAACACCAAUUGCGAAGGCAGCUCACUACACAAAUAUUGACGCUGAGGCACGAAAGCGUGGGGAUCAAAC